rnacentral:rRNA from 1 species
GACGAACGCUGGCGGCGUGCCUAAUACAUGCAAGUAGAACGCUGAAGGAGGAGCUUGCUUCUCCGGAUGAGUUGCGAACGGGUGAGUAACGCGUAGGUAACCUGCCUGGUAGCGGGGGAUAACUAUUGGAAACGAUAGCUAAUACCGCAUAACAGUAGAUAUUGCAUGAUAUCUGCUUGAAAGGUGCAAUUGCAUCACUACCAGAUGGACCUGCGUUGUAUUAGCUAGUUGGUGGGGUAACGGCUCACCAAGGCGACGAUACAUAGCCGACCUGAGAGGGUGAUCGGCCACACUGGGACUGAGACACGGCCCAGACUCCUACGGGAGGCAGCAGUAGGGAAUCUUCGGCAAUGGACGGAAGUCUGACCGAGCAACGCCGCGUGAGUGAAGAAGGUUUUCGGAUCGUAAAGCUCUGUUGUAAGAGAAGAACGAGUGUGAGAGUGGAAAGUUCACACUGUGACGGUAUCUUACCAGAAAGGGACGGCUAACUACGUGCCAGCAGCCGCGGUAAUACGUAGGUCCCGAGCGUUGUCCGGAUUUAUUGGGCGUAAAGCGAGCGCAGGCGGUUAGAUAAGUCUGAAGUUAAAGGCUGUGGCUUAACCAUAGUACGCUUUGGAAACUGUUUAACUUGAGUGCAAGAGGGGAGAGUGGAAUUCCAUGUGUAGCGGUGAAAUGCGUAGAUAUAUGGGAAGAACACCGGUGGCGAAAGCGGCUCUCUGGCUUGUAACUGACGCUGAGGCUCGAAAGCGUGGGGGAGCAAACAAGG